rnacentral:rRNA from 1 species
GAUGAACGCUGGCGGCGUGCUUAACACAUGCAAGUCGAACGAUGAAGCUCAGCUUGCUGGGUGGAUUAGUGGCGAACGGGUGAGUAACACGUGAGUAACCUGCCCUUAACUCUGGGAUAAGCCUGGGAAACUAGGUCUAAUACCGGAUAGGAGCGCCUACCGCAUGGUGGGUGUUGGAAAGAUUUAUCGGUUUUGGAUGGACUCGCGGCCUAUCAGCUUGUUGGUGAGGUAAUGGCUCACCAAGGCGACGACGGGUAGCCGGCCUGAGAGGGUGACCGGCCACACUGGGACUGAGACACGGCCCAGACUCCUACGGGAGGCAGCAGUGGGGAAUAUUGCACAAUGGGCGAAAGCCUGUUGCAGCGACGCCGCGUGAGGGAUGACGGCCUUCGGGUUGUAAACCUCUUUCAGUAGGGAAGAAGCGAAAGUGACGGUACCUGCAGAAGAAGCACCGGCUAACUACGUG